GCAAAAUUAAAACAGUAAUCACCACAAUGCCAAGCACUUCAGUAAUUUUUUGUCUCUUAGCCCUAGCGACAAUCCAUCUCUCCUCUGCCCACAAUAAACCUGAAGACUACCUCAAAGCUCACAACGAGGCUCGUGCUAGUGUUGGCGUUGGCCCGAUGUCAUGGGACUACAAAUUGGCGGAUUAUUCACAUAAACAUGCACAAAAACUAAAGGGUAACUGCAAUUUAAAGAAACCCCAAGUUAGCAAAUACAGCGAGACAAUUGCAUGGAGCAACCAGGGCGAGAUUACCGCCAUCGAGUUCGUGAAGAUGUGUAUGGAUGGGAAGCCAUUAUACGACUACAACUCUAAUACUUGUGCUCUUAAUGGUACGAAAUGCGCAAUCUAUACUCAAGUUGUGUGGCGCAAUUCUGUGCGUUUAGGUUGUGCUAAAGAGAGGUGCAAUAACAAUGGGACUCUCAACUUUGUCAUUUGCAACUACGAUCCCCGAGGUAAUGUUUUUGGUCAACAUCCUUACUAGUGGAUCAUAAAGAAACUUUCCUCUAUAUAUGAGACCAGAGGGCUAUGCAUGAAUAAGUCAUGCCGUUGGCAGAUAUUCGAAAACAAUAAAAUCAAGCUAUGUGUUCGCUUCCAUUUACGCAAGUAAUAAAAAAAUAAAUUGAACAUAUAAUUUCUCUUUUGAUUNNNNNNNNNNNNNNNNNNNNUUAUGUAAUUUAUUAUUAAGGGGCUUAAUUAUCCUUCCCCUUAUGGUAAAUAAUAACUAAUACGGGUAAAUUACAUAUAAUAAAAAUUUCUUGUGUGAUCUCAAGGGGCUUGAUUGAUGAGAUGCUCCUUUAAUCCUUACAAUUUGAGUCAAUUAUUCAAUUAGUCCCUAUAUUUAUAAAACUUAUCAAAAAGAUCCCUAUAACUUUGUUUCCAUUAAAAUAUAUCUACCUCACUUCUCUCUAUUUGCUAACUGUUAUAUGUCUAACUUAUUAGAAUUUCAACUUAUAUUAGACAAAAAUAUUACGUAUGCUUAAGAAGUUAAUUUAAGUCCUAUUAAAGAAAAGAAAUGAGUAUUUUGAAUAAUUAUAAUUAAAAGAUACAUAAAAUAAAUUAGUAAUUAGCCUAAACCCUGAAAAUUAAAGGGGAAUUUACCCUUACCAAAGUGCCACUAAGUUUUAUUUAUCUUGUAUUACUAGAAAUUUCUUUUGAAAAAUUUUCGACCAUACAAUUCUUGAUGAUUUUCACACCAUUCCCUAUAUAAACCUCUUAUACACAAGCAAGCAGUUCCAUCCAUUACCUAAGCUCUUUCUUUCCCAUUUCCAUCGGAUAAGCGAAAUUAAACCAGUAAUCACCACAAUGCCAAGCACUUCAGCAAUUUUUUGUCUCUUAGCCCUAGCGACAAUCCAUCUCUCCUCUGCCCACAAUAAACCUGAAGACUACCUCAAAGCUCACAACGAGGCUCGUGCUAGUGUUGGCGUUGGCCCGAUGUCAUGGGUCUACAAAUUGGCGGAUUAUUCACAUAAACAUGCACAAAAACUAAAGGGUAACUGCAAUUUAAAGAAACCCCAAGUUAGCAAAUACAGCG
rnacentral:lncRNA from 1 species